CUAAACUAUCAUGGCUGCAACACAACUGCUCUGACAUGUGAAGAACAUACAUUGGCUUUCAGAUUACUUGUCAAGUCUCCAAUGUUUCCGCAGCAAGGCUGGAGGCCAGCCUUCUCUCUCGGCUCUGCAGAGAAAACCCGGAGUUGCUCCCGCCUUACACCAGUGGAGAAAGCAGCAGAGUUUACCCCCAGGCACUGCCCAUCACAGAUAUGAAAGGAGCAGCACAGACAUCGAGGGAAAACAGUCAGGGCCGAUGCUAUGGCCAAGGAUAUCAGACCUGCCAUGCACUUCAGCUUCACUGCUCACCAUUGGUGCCCCCUGGGCUUGCUCAGGGCACAGAAUCUACAGAGACUUCAGCUCACAGACCAUCAGGCAGCAAACCCAUGACCUCCUGUGGAAGGCACAGCUCAGAAGGAACAGGGAGGCAGCAGGGAAGAAGCAGCAAUGACACAAGAAAUUCACCUCCAGCAGCAGCACAGCCCCACAACGGCAUGGGUGUCAGCCAAGGACUGAGCUCUCUGCCUCGGCAGCUGUCCUCCCCAUGCCACCCCAGCCAGCUCCGCAGCACAAGAGCUCUGCUGAGGGAUUUGGGCAAAUGGCACGGUCCCAAGUCCCCCUGUGCCAAUGCCUCAGUGUAUGCAGGAACCAAUCUGCAAGGCUCUGUCUUGCGGGAUGCACAGCCUGGGCAAGCAUGCACCAUCCCCCCUGCACAGCCCAAAUUCAACGCAGCCCGACAGUGUGCCGCUGUGCUCCCAGACCAAAUAUAG
rnacentral:lncRNA from 1 species